rnacentral:lncRNA from 1 species
UUGCCCAAGGUGACAAGCCAAGAGGGGGGGGUGAAUUGGUUUCUUUUAAUUUUAACUAUCUUACUUGUGUUAAAUGAUGAGUUAGUGAACUUAAACAAAUCGUAAUGCAAACAACAAGAAGUAUAGUGGUUCGGUGCUCUCCUUAGCACCUACGUCCACUCCCCAAGCGACCCCUUGGAAAUUCACUAUAAUCCCGUGGAUUACAGUUGGAUUGUUUUCCGGGCUCACAAUCCAAAAAUCUUUACACUUUGGUUUUCCGGGUUCACGAAAAACCUAUGUUGGUUUUGCGGGCUCACCAACGAACCUAUGUUGGUUUUACGGGCUCACCAACGAACCUUUACAAUUGGUUUUUCGGAUUCACCAAUCAACCUAUGUUGGUUUUAUGGGCUCACCAACGAACCUAUGUUGGUUUUAUUGGCUCACCAACGAACCUUUACAAUUGGUUUUCCGGGUUCACCAAUCAACCUAUUCCGUUGGUUUUGCGGGCUAACCAACCAACCUUUACAAGUAGUUUAAUAAACAAAGAAAGAAGAUUUAAACUCCUAGAUGAGCAAAUAUAACAAUAUAAUCUACAAAGAAGAGUUUAGAGAAUAGUUAUCGCUUGAUAUGAC